UUAUCACCCUGUACAAAGCUCAAGUGGAUCAAGGACCUCCACAUCAAACCAGAUACACCCAAACUAAUAGAAGAAAAAGUAGGGGGUUGGGGAUUUAGCUCAGUGGUAGAGCGCUUGCCUAACAAGCACAAGACCCUGGGUUCGGUCCCCAGCUCGGAAAAAAAAAGAAAAAAAAAUAAGAAGAAAAAGUAGGGUAGAGCCUCAAACACAUGGGCACAGGAGAAAAUUUCCUGAACAUAAUACCAAUGGUUUAUGCUCUAAGAUCAAGAAUUGACAAAUGGAACUUCAUAAAAUUGCAAAACUUCUGUAAGGCAAAGGACACCGUCAUUCAGACAAAAUUGCAACCAACAGAUUGAGAAAAGAUGUUUAGACUCUAGAGAAUCUAGGUAAAAUAACCCUUUUAAAAAUUGGGGUACAGAGCUAAACAAAGAAUUCUAAGGUGAGGAAUAUUGAAUACCUGAGAAGCACCUAAAGAAAUGUUCAAAAUCCUUAGUCAUCAGGGAAACACAAAUUAAAACAAUCCUGAAAUCCUACCUCCUACCAGUCAGAAUGGCUAAGAUCAAAAACUCAGGUGACAACAGGUGCUGGCGAGAAUAUGGAGAAAGAGGAACACUCCUCCAUUGUUGGUGAGAUUGCAAGCUGGUACAACCACUCUGGAAAUCAGUCUGGAGGUUCCUCAGAAAACUGGACACAGUACUAUUCUACUCCUGGGCAUAUACUCAAAAAGGCUCCAAUAUAUAACAAGGACACAUGCUCCACUAUGUUCAUAGCAGACUUAUUUAUAAUAGCCAGAAGCUGGAAAGAACCCAGAUGUCCUUCAACAGAGGAAUGGAUACAGAAAGUGUGGUACAUCUACACAAUGGAGUACUACUCGGCUAUAAAAAACAAU
rnacentral:lncRNA from 1 species